rnacentral:rRNA from 1 species
UACGUAGGGUGCAAGCAUUAAUCGGAUUUAUUGGGCGUAAAGGGCGCGUAGGCGGAUAGGGAAGUCAGAUGUGAAAUCCCAGGGCUCAACCCUGGAACGGCAUUUGAAACUCCCUAUCUAGAGGGUAGGCGGAGAAAACGGAAUUCCACAAGUAGCGGUGAAAUGCGUAGAUAUGUGGAAGAACACCGGUGGCGAAGGCGGUUCUCUGGGACGGUACUGACGCUGAGACGCGAAAGCGUGGGGGAGCGAACAGG